rnacentral:lncRNA from 1 species
GAUAGCACAGCAGGCAGGCAGGCAUUUUCCUUUCUGUCUUUCAUGUAAUGACCGUGAAAUCCCUUCCAUAAGAACAUAGAGGUUUUGUUCUGUUCUGUUUCUAAUUUCAGAACAGUAAGUCUCCAAUGCACCACCACCCACCGGAAAAAGAGCACACAGUGACUGACAAGAUGGUUUUCCGGGUGUCAUGUGAGAAGCAUUGAUCUACGAUCUGUUCCCCUUCCUGCUUCCUCUUCUCCCUUUUGCCCAUGUUCUGGUGCUAUCCAGAAGGAAAAGACUUUCUGAAGGUGAGGGUCUCAUUUUAUCUCCCGUGACUUUUUGCUUGUAACUGGGAGGUUUUACUAAAGGGCAUGCCGUUUUCAGACUCUUUUCAUACCUAAAAAAAAAAAAAAAAGGUUU